GUAAGAGGGCACUGGAUUACAGCCUUGGUAAGAAAUUUGCCAUCAUUCUACAAGAAACUCUGGUACAAAGGGGCCAAUUUUGGGGCUGCUGAGUAGACUCAUCUUCAGCCUGCUUCUAAUUCACGCUUCUAAGACGAUAAGCGAGAAGCCUUCAGUACGCAAUGAACCUCGGAAAAGUUCUGCAAACAACUGUAUGUGUACUCAUGUUCUACGGUGACCAAAGAGGACAAUUCUGAAAAUGAUUUGUUUCAGAGGCAGGAUUAUAGGAAAUGUGACAUCAUAAACUACAUCACUAGAAUUCUUGCCGCCUCCUGGUUAUGGAACAAAUGACAGUCAACCCUUGAAAUAAUUGUUUCUUCUCUAGCAUGGUGAAUCGUCAGUUCCGUUGCUACCACCGAUGGCAGCCUCAUUUCCUGUCACGUUGUUUCCUGAGUCUCAGACAGAAGCGGGCGUUUAAUGUGUGA